rnacentral:rRNA from 1 species
GUGUCAGCAGCCGCGGUAAGACGAACCGUGCGAACGUUGUUCGGAAUCACUGGGCUUAAAGGGCGCGUAGGCGGGCCGAAAAGUCAGGGGUGAAAUCCUCCAGCUUAACUGGAGAACUGCCUUUGAUACUGGCGGUCUGGAGUAAGGUAGGGGCAUGCGGAACUGAUGGUGGAGCGGUGAAAUGUGUUGAUAUCAUCAGGAACUCCGGUGGCGAAAGCGGCGUGCUGGACCUUUACUGACGCUGAUGCGCGAAAGCCAGGGGAGCAAACGGGAUUAGAUACCCCGGUAGUCCUGGCCCUAAACGAUGGGUACUAGGUAGUAGGCUUGACAUGGGUUUACUGCCGGAGCAAAAGUGCUAAGUACCCCGCCUGGGGAGUAUGGUCGCAAGGCUGAA